rnacentral:lncRNA from 1 species
GAACACACAUAUACUGAAUAUUAAGAGUAUUACAUCCAACGUACCGUUUGAUACAACAAAUGAGCAUCAUCGUCAAGUCUCAUAUAGAAAGGGCCUAUAAGGCCAAUUACACCGAUACAUCUACUAGCGGAAAUAUUGGUAAUAAACGGGAGCCCAUGCCAUCAGCCUUCACCAACAUGCAUUCUGACUGGGAAGCAUCCUAGUUCACGUGUCCGUCUCCGAUGACGAAUUCUUCUCCAAACUCCGGUUCCUCCAUGUCUGGUCAAUAAAAUAACCAGUGGCAAGCCAGUGAGUACUUUGAAUGUACUCGCAAACAGCCCAUGAUAUGGAUAAUGUAGUUGGUGUGGUAAUAAAGUAAUAUGCAGACUUUGCGGAAAGCAAAUUUUUCGUAAGGAUGUACAUUGUCAAUUACUUGUAUGGAUAUGCAUCAUAAGCUAGAUGGUAUUCAUAAGUUGUACCCACAUGAUCCGAAAAACAUCCUUAUCACCCACGACUCGUGGUAUAUAUCAUACCCGAGGGAAGUACCCGAUCAUUGCCUUUCCCCUAACGAUUCUAGACAAAGAGUUCACUCGAUUGGUACCCAACCCACAUGAUGUACGUCUUACGAGCACCAACUCUAGACCGUAUCAUCCAUGCGGGGACCAAGGGUGUGCCGUGAACACAUAAAAACGGCAUAGUCGAACUACCUGGUACGACCCCGUCAUGAGAGUGACCACAUAUCACUCCCACCACUAGUAAUGUUGCUCAUUGCUAGCACCGACCAAAGUAAUCAAUAAAGCCCCGUCCCAUAAAGGGGUAUCGUGGUCGUACAUGUAAGGUUGGGACGGUCGACACAUCAUAAAUCUAAUCCCAUUUACGAAACCACUCACACAAAAUAUUUCUUGAUGCACCACUUCUUCACAAGUGGCCACCUAACUCAUCAUCACCCUCAGGCAUUAGUGGCACCCGACGUGGUUUUCGUAAAACCUUUGUUAUCAACUUUGUGUUACCAUCAUCAUGCACAUGCUCUUUCUAUGCAUAGCACUACUAUCUACUUGUCAAUAUGUUAUCAGUGUGACCCUCAUAAAUGAUAGGGUCAUGCUUAAUGCAAGUGGUCCAGAGGAGCUAUCGGAAACACCAUGCCGGGGUGCACCGAUCGUCCUUAACUAUAUGCAUCGGAGUACAAUUACCAAUGUGUCAUGCAUAGAAGUAUUUCUUAGACAUGGUCAAAGAGCCUCUUGCCUUGAUCAACUAUGUUCCGGGGUCUUCGGGGUCUUCGGGUUCAAGUACUUCGUCGAACGCGAAAUCUAUCGUCGCAAUAAUACUAAUAAAAUAAGAACCUCAUUCAAAAACACAGCACAAACUCACUUUAAAAAUGUUAUCCUAUUAUGAUCAAUCUUUAUUAUAGUUUGAAAAACAUUUGUUUCUUGUUUUGAUGCAAAAAGGUAUUUUUAAAACCUAAUUAACAGGGCCUAAAAUAUUUAAACUAGGCAUUUUAAUCAAAGUUAUGUAUAAAAGUUUUGACAAAAAUUGGUAAAAUAGAACUACUAAAUUUUACAUAUUUUUAGAAGAAUUGUGGUGGAAAAAUAUUUAGAUUUGACUAAAUAUUUAAUUUUACAAAAAUCAUUUAGAAUCAACAUAAAAAGAAACGGGGAAACGGGCUUAACCCUGGCCUGGCUCGGCAAGUGGCUGGGCCGGCCCAACUGGCCAACCGACAAACUAGCGAGCCAGCAGCCCAGGUGCGCGUGCACCCUCAUGUUUAAACCUGACGCAUGGGCCCCUGCAGUCAGUGGGAGAGAGAGGAGAGAGGGGGAGAGGCUGGCCACCACAGGUGGGGCAUGCCUGUCGGGGUCGUCUUCCUACUCUAGACAGAAGGGAGUGGGGGCACGCCGGCGGCGAUUCCGACGACCUCGUGGCCACAUGACGGCAGGAACGGCACCGAGGCAUCGCCGCCUACAUGCUGGUGGUCGAAUGAACAACGGGGAAGCCCUAUGUCACCGGCGAUGAGGUGGCCGCGCGAAGGUGCUUCGGGUGGUGGUGGAGUUUGGUGCUACGGACAGGGAAAUGCUCGGGGCAGAGGUGGGGAGGCUUGUUGAGCUCUCUACGCUCACGAAGGAGGUGAGAUGAGCACGAGAGCUGGCCUUUAGCCCGAGAUCAACGGAGCUCCGAAGCGGCGGGGCCUCGGUCGAUCUCGAGCACCAGAGCUCUCUCUGCUCGAAUGGGGUGGCUAGGACCUCCAUUGAGCAUCUCGAGGAGUGGCGUGGGGUGCUGGAGUGAAGGGGGAAGGCCUAUUUAUAGGCCAGCAACAGUACACCACGCGUGGGAGCAUCGGUGCUUUCACCGUGGCUGCAGGAGAGGGAGAGAGGGCUCGGGGUCGAUACCACGGUUUCGCGGACGUGGUUUGAGACCCCACAGACCAAACGAGAGAGAGGAGGCUCAGUGCACGCGUGCUGCGGGGCCGCACUCUUUUGGCGGAACCUGGCGCACGAGGGCACGUGUCACCCUGGUCAGCACAGAUGGGGAGAAGGGGCCCUAGGGCUGCCCUGAGUCAAGAGGUUUGUCGGAGACGCGAAGAGACCCCGAGGGGAGGUGAGAACCGGUCGGGGCUGGCCUCCUUUGCCUCGGGUGUGCCUUGUAGCGUGCCCAGAGCACAGAUUUGGCAUGCCACGGCAUGCUGGCGUGCUCUGGGGUGCUUUGGCCCUGUCUGACGUGUCCGGGGGUUGGCUUAGAUGCCCUUUAGCCGUUUGGGAGCCGAGGGUCUCACUGCUGGUCAAAGGAAGUGCUUGAAGAGGAGCUGUCAGGCUUGAUUCAGAAACUAAAUUGGGGAUUUUGACUCACCUGCUCGGAACCAUAGAGGGGCCACUCGUCUGCAGUUGAGGAGUGGUGCUGGCAGCUUGCACUAAGAGUUUAGUGGAAAGGGAGUGGGUGUAGAGGGUGUUAAGUGUUGUUUGACCAUCCAGGCAGAAGGUGAUUGAUAUGUGUUUGGGGUAGUUAACCUCCACCACUCAUGUUGAAAGUUAACAUGAUUGGGUUUAAUACAAAGUAGGAUGCUCCACCAAAUUUGAGCGCCAUUGGACAAGGUUGACAAUGCAAACUUGAAAUCCCCCAAAUGGGCAGUUCUGUCCUUUAAAAGAGAAUGUGGCUAAAUUAAUACCACAAAUCUAUUUUUUGGCAGGGUCUCUUCAUUUGGGGUGUUGAUCACUCGUGCAAAGCUUUAGGCCAUUUGGACAAACUUUUCUAUGUAGAGUUGCUUCAACUUAAUUCUGGAAACGGAAGGUCAUAGGAAUAUUUGGUGAACCAAAGAACCUUGGAAUAAGGUGAAACUUGGCAUGACCACCAAAUAUAACUUGGGAAGCAUGCUAGAAUUUUCUAGGAAUUUAUUGAAACUGUUUCCUUUGGAAAUAUUUCAAAAGGUCAAAACAGACAGAAUAGGUUUUCAAGGAUUUGCUCAAAUAUUUUGAACAUAAAUAGGGGUUGAAAAUCUUAUUAUGGAAAAUAUAUGUCCUGUGCAUAUCUUCAAUUUUCUCAAGUUUUUCUAAGGCAGAAAAAUAAUUUUCCAUUCAGAAAUAUCAUUUCUCACCUCAGAAAAGGACAUGCAAAUAAAAUAGAAAAUUAUUUUAUAAAAUAAAUAUUUUAUGACUUUGGAAAGUUAUAAUAGUGCCAAAAUCAUAAUACAAUCUUUGGGUGGAGGCACUCCCUUGGAAUCAGGGACUUGAAGUGCAAACCCAUAGCAAGGUUUUGAAAUGGUCAAAAAUGAGAAAAAGGAUCUUUUUGGAAAUCUCACGUUAUAAAAAUAUUAUUUUUGGAUCCACUCACUCAAGCAUACACACAAACAAUGGCAAUCAUGGCACACAAACAAUGGCAAUCAUGGCACUCAUAGCACUUGCUUAAAAAGUUAUAAUAAAUUCAGGUUUUUGAAAAGACUACAAUUGAAGUAAGGUAAAAACGUGUGUGACAAUACUGAAGAGAUGAGUAUAUGGAAAUCGCUUCCACUCUCCACAAGCUACAUCAAGUUCACAUAAAUACAACAAUAUACAAUCAUCAUGAAAAAGAGCAGGGUUCGACUAUGGACGAAAAUAAAUGAUAAAAGAACGACGUCCAUCCUUGCUAUCCUAGGUUGCCGGCGUGGAACCCAUCCUAGAUCGAUGAUGAUGAAGAAGAAGAAACUCCAAAAGCACAAUCAUCGCGCUCACAACAUAAUAUCACAUUACUUGUACUUGCAAUUGGUGUUGUAGUAAUUUGGGAGCCACAGGAACUCAGCAAUUUCAUUUCCAAAGGUAUCGAGACUAACAAAGCUUAAUUGGUGAGGCUGCAGCUAGCGACCAAGCAUUUAUUUGAGGUGGCUAACUUACGAGUACAAAAAUAAGAGGGGGUGAUCUACGCAUAUCGGAAGUGAACUAAUAAUGAUCAAGUGAAUGAUCGUGAACCCUACUUACGUCAGACAUAACCUCACCAUGUACUCGAUCGGAGAAGGAGCUCAAGAAAGAGACAGUCACAGUUACACACUUAGUUGGCAAGUUUUUAAUUAAGUUUACUUCAAGCUAUCUAGAACUGGAUGUUAAACAAAGUUUCCAAGUUUGCCACAUAACCGCGGGCAUGACUUUCCGAAAGAUUUAACCCUGCAAGGGUCCUCCAACUAGUCCAUCACAAACUACCACACGUUACGUCGGAAUGACCUCAAUCAGGGAAAACCUGUGAACUCCUCGGGUUCCUAUUGAAAAACCUCAACCUCAAGAAGUAUCCUCGGAAUCCCAUGCACGAGACGCUCGAGAAAGGUAAAACAGGUCCAGCAAGGCCGACCGCCGUGUCGACGAUCCCGAUAAGAGCUGUGUAUCUCGUUUUCACGACACGACGGAUAAGCACAAUGUACGGUGGCCUGAUAGAAAUCUCCCGAGUUGCCCCGGGUUGACCCUGCAAACGACUCUAGUUUGAACUAACACCAGCAGUACUGGCCCCCGUGUAUUAUGUUGAAUUAUUUCUCGGGUUCAUGACGCCCUAUGCUUUUCAACGGUGUUCAAUUUUAUCAUGUUGGGAAAAUAUAGUAUUAAUGUUGGGCCGUGUCAGGCGAGUUUUAUCCCAAAUUGAAAAUCUAGGGGUCCCCAUAACAACCCCAAGCAUGUUAGGAGCGCUCAUUUAUGGAACAUGACACCGGUAGACGAAACUAAGGGGGCAAAGGUGGAACAAAACACCAAGCUAGAAGGCCAAGGCUUCCACCUUUUACCAAUUAUAUAGGUGCAUUAAAUUAAAUAGCAAUUAUAUGGUGAUAUAACAAGGAACCAUGUCGGCACAUGGAUGCAACUGCACCUUCAACUAGCAACGCUAACAAAAGGUUGAGCAAGCGGUAACAUAGCCAAACAGUGGUUUGCUGGGACGUGGAAAAGGUUUUCAUGGCAAUGUUGGGAGGCAUAUUAAACAGGUGGUAGGCAGCGAGACAUAGCGAAAACGAGACAACUAGCAUGGCAAUGGUAGUAAUGGUAUCUAGAAAAAUGGUCAUCUUGCCUGUGACCUCUUGUAAGAAGAUUGAAUCCAUGAAGCAGACGAACCAACAUAGUCGAACGAAUCCUCACACUCCAAAGCGGUUCGGAACUCUAUCAAGAAGAAACAAACCGGAAACAAGAAUCAACACACGAUAUUCACCACGGCAAAUGCACGCUAUGAUGCACAACCUAAUAUGAUGCAUGUCCAAUUCAACUAUGCAAGGCAUGGCAUGGCAAUUCACAACAAUCAAACACUACACAUUAAGUGAAACUCCGCAUUCGAAUUAUUUAGUUCGCUCCCGUUUAGGUACACGACAAUUUUUUAAAUGUUGUUAGCAUGGCAAGAGAUGAAGGAUGUGAUUCUACAUGUAAUUCUAGUCGGUUUACACAUAGCUCACGUAAAACAGAGCUACCAUUAACUAUCUAUAGGCAGCUAUAGGCAUUGUAAAACAGUGACAAAAUCUGCUAUAAUGCAUGUCUUGAAAUAAAUAAAAGAUCAAAAGAGGGGAAAACAUAUAUGCAUGGGCCCAAUUGCAACUAAGUGAAGCCACCCAGAAUUGAAUCAGGCCCAAGUGGCUCAGUGUACGUCCGUGGAAACAAUAAAAGAGAGGCUUACGUGAUUUGAUCCCUGGACCUGGUGGAUGCCGAACUGCUGUCCUAGCCAACAGAGCUAGUAUCUGAUUAUGAUAUGAGAUGGAACUAUCCUAUUUGAAGUAGCGCUACAGAGCAACAAAAUAAUUCGAAUGCGGAGCAGGGUGCAGAUCAACAAAAACAGAGCAAAACAUAUUACUGGCUGACCUGGGAUUCGAACCCCAGAUCUCGGGGAUGAAACUGAGUGGUGCUAGGCAUCUCUGCUGCACUUGCUUGAGUGAAUUUCACACAGGUUAUUACUUAUAGAACUGAAGAAACGGCGGUUGGAGCNAGGUUUGCCUACGGGGAAUAGGAGGAUACAGUUGAUCCAGGCACGGGCAACCCAUUCCCAGUGACGAGAGGUCUUGGGGAAGCGCGGAUGGGCGACCUCCAUGGACGGCGGAGGCGGGUUCCGAUGUGUUCCUGUCAGGGAAGAAACAAGCAAGAGGGAGAGGAAUUAGAGGAGAGAGGAUAGGGAAGGUGGGGCAUAGGAAGGAUCCUAGCGCAGAGGAGCGACCUGUUCGCUCCAGCGACUCAUCGGCGUCGGGGUUAAGGCGAGGUGCUCCGGCGGCGGUAGCUUCGCCAGGGAGGCUUGUCAACGAGGCGGUCUGGUCCAAUGGAACGGCCGGCACGACAGGUGGGGCAGGCACGAGCGAGCACCAUGGCUUCCAGCUCCCUUGACGCGAGCGAGGCGUGAGCCUUGCAUCCCACCGAGCAAAGAAGCAGGGUGUCGCGGGAGCAGGUGGUUGCACGGGGCUAGAGACGGCUCUCCGGACGAGGUACUCGGUGCCAUGCGCCGCGACUGUGUGAUCGGCCGCGGAUAUGGUUGGCUGGAUGUGUCCGUGGCUGUGGGUUGGCUUGCGCUGGUUGGUCGAGAGGAGAUCCCGAGGGAGAGGGUGGCAGCGGCGCUGCAGGAAUUGAGGGAGUUAGUCUAGG